AGUGCAUGCCAUCACAGCAGGACCUGACUGACACCCACCUCCUGGCUUUCGGUCCCUAAGGCUGCUCUGCUCUUGUGGAGCACUACCGGUCUGGGCUGACCAUUCCCUUCAGCAAUGCCCCCUACCAAACUUAGACUAGGUUGGAACCCUCCUAAAGGAAACAGAUGUAGCUACUUCCAAUGCUCUCCCUAGAAGGGACAGGGCCACCUCCUUAGGCCACAUCUUCAUGACUGGCCACCAUUUCUCCAUAGGGCAGAGGGCUACGUGCUGGCCUGCUUGGUGUCAGGGCCACAUGGGUACACACUUGCCACCAGAACAGCUAACUACACCACUGCCCUGUCCCAGCAAGCUCAAACUCGGCAUGGGACAGCAUGAAGGAAAAGCAGCAAGGUUAGAGGAGUGGGCAAGGCCACCCACGGCAGACAGCGGCUCGGUCAGCCUGGCUGGCCUUCCAGAAGCUGCUUGUCAAGGUGGAAUGGCAGAAGAGGACAAAAUGAGAUGCACCACCAAAUCCCAGGUGGCUGCCUGGUCCUCAUCUUUGAGGGGCAGCACUCUUCCGUUAGCCCCUGAUAGGUAGCUCUUAGGGUUCCUACUAUCUAGGAGACAAGCAGAAACCACCAUGGAAGCUGCCUACUCCCACUCCUGUCCUGUUCUGAGCCUACAACCUGCAUCAAGGUGUACGAUAGGCUGAGGACGUUAGCCAGUCUGUACCCAGACUGGGCAUACCUGAACGCCAUCACUUCCCUGGAGGACACUCAUAUGCAAACCUGCAGUUGUCCAGGAAAAAUAGUCUGGGAACAUGCAGCAGUGAACUUCUCAAACCCCUACAAGCACGGGUUUGCCAAUACCCACAUCCCUACAACAGGGUUGCCCUUUCUUUCUCUUGAGGUUUAAUCUGGACAAGAGCAGAAACACAUGCCAAAGAGACUGAAGUACCAGAAAGGAAAGCCAACUUCUGGGGAUGCAGGCUCAGACACAUCAAAGGGCCUAGAAAGAAAUGGCCUAAGCAGCCCUUGCCCUGCUCUCGGAUAUAGGCUGGAGUCUAGAAUGCAAGACUGGCCACCAGAGGUGAGCUGUCAAGACCCUUUGCGUGAGAGACAAUGCCUGAGCUCUGGAGAGCCCUGGAAGAAGGCCACUCAUGUGGCAGACAGGCCCGAUAGGUCCUAGGUCCUGAGAUAUGUUCAACAGCUGGGCACGGCCAUGUAGUCCAGCACCCAGCCCUCACCCCACUCCCAAGGAAUUUGCCAAAAGAGCUUACUGGCCAGCUGCAGCCUCCGAGGGCCAGCCUCCAUCUGCUCUGCAAACAGGUGUUAUGACUCUCAUAGCUUCUACUCGUUUAGAUCAGGCAGCGGCUCCCGCCAGUGACACUUCUGGCUUGGGGGCUGGACCCUGAGAAGCUGAGAAUUGGUAUGUCACAGCGGUGCCCCACCACAGGAGCACACAUCUGAAGGUUUCCGCGUGCCAGGAACGAUAGGGAAAAUCUCCCUAGGAGCUGGCUUUCUGAGCCCUAAGCCCCGUAUCUUCUGUCCUCUGGACACUCCGAAAUAGCAUGUCACUCCAUCAGUCA